AGUGAACGCUGGCGGUAGGCCUAACACAUGCAAGUCGAACGGCAGCACAGUAAGAGCUUGCUCUUACGGGUGGCGAGUGGCGGACGGGUGAGGAAUACAUCGGAAUCUACUUUUUCGUGGGGGAUAACGUAGGGAAACUUACGCUAAUACCUCAUACGACCUACGGGUGAAAGCAGGGGAUCUUCGGACCUUGCGCGAGUGAAUGAGUCGAUGUCGGCUUAGCUAGUUGGCGGGGUAAAGGCCCACCAAGGCGACGAUCCGUAGCUGGUCUGAGAGGAUGAUCAGCCACACUGGAACUGAGACACGGUCCAGACUCCUACGGGAGGCAGCAGUGGGGAAUAUUGGACAAAGGGCGCAAGCCUGAUCCAGCCAUACCGCGUGGGUGAAGAAGGCCUUCGGGUUGUAAAGCCCUUUUGUUGGGAAAGAAAAGCAGCAGGUUAAUACCCCGCUGUUCUGACGGUACCCAAAGAAUAAGCACCGGCUAACUUCGUG
rnacentral:rRNA from 1 species